rnacentral:tRNA from 1 species
AAGUCUUAAGUUAACAAAACUAGUAACCUUCAAAGUUAAAAAUAUUUUAUUAGACUUU